GAUGAAGAACGUAGCGAAAUGCGAUAACUAAUGUGAAUUGCAGAAUUCCGUGAAUCAUCGAGUCUUUGAACGCACAUUGCGCCCCCUGGUAUUCCGGGGGGCAUGCCUGUCCGAGCGUCAUUGCUGCCCAUCAAGCACGGCUUGUGUGUUGGGUCCUCGUCCCCCCCGUGGGACGUGCCCGAAAGGCAGCGGCGGCACCGCGUCCGGUCCUCGAGCGUAUGGGGCUUUGUCACCCGCUCUGCAGGCCCGGCCGGCGCUGGCCGACGCGAAAGCAACCAUUUUUUCUCCAGGUUGACCUCGGAUCAGGUAGGGAUACCCGCUGAACUUAAGCAUAUCAAUAAGCGGAGGA
rnacentral:misc_RNA from 1 species